rnacentral:lncRNA from 1 species
GCCAUGCAAAUGCCAAGGGUGAAUCUCACUCAUAUUGGGGUUUAACAUAUUAGCGUUUUGUAGAAUCACAUCUACCGUUUCCCCCAUAUUGAACUUGUAAACGCCGUUGCCCGUUGUCGUUUCAGGGUUCGGCGGUGGGUUGUUGAUGUCGUAGUUCAAUGGGAAUGUUUCUGGUGGUGGAUUUUGGUUGAAGGCAGUGUUUAGCCUCAUUUUCAUGGCGGCGAGGUACGGCGUUGGAGGGAGAGCUAAAGAGACAUUGUUGAUGGCCCAUUUCAUGAACCCGUUUAUUCGAUUUUGGGUGUUGAGGAGGAAGAGUCGGCGGUUGUAUCUCACCGGUGGCUUUGGACUGCCCAUGGCAGCGAAGAUUCUGAAUGUGAAGUUUUUGCUCCGAUCAAAAUCCUCCCAGUGGGGGGUUUCCGGAGGUGGAGAAAUGGGUAAUUUGGAGGCGGAGUUGGGGAGGUAAUUGAGGAGGGUUAGUCCUGGAGGGGUUUUGGGUAGCCGUGCGCGGACGCCGAUGGAUACCCAGUAAUUUUCCAAUGGGUUUUGGUCGGUGGUAAUGAGGACGGAGUAUGACUCGCCGGAAUAAAUGUCGAUGUCGGAAGUGACAAAUGGUUGAACGUAGUUGCCGUCGGCUUCUACCACUAACAGUUCG